GCCCGGGUGGUGGAAUGGCUAGACACGAUGGACUUAAAAUCCAUUGAGAAUAAAAUCUCAUGCGAGUUCGACUCUCGCCUCGGGCA
rnacentral:tRNA from 1 species